AUGCAGAAGAGUCUGAUUCUUCCAUCGAACCCAGAUAUCACUUGGAACCAGCUUCGUAUGUUACAUGCAUACUGUCUUCUUGUUUGGAUUGUUGGUGAAAUAUUAAGGAGACAGAUACCUGGAAGCUGGUAUGCAGGAGAUAAAGAGAAAAGUUGGACAGAGACCAGAAAAUGUUCAAAAGAAAAACUAGAUGCAUAUGUCCAGGCACAUUUUUCUCCAAACAAAAGAAAAAAAUAUCAAAAUGAAUGAUACAAAGGAAUUUUGACCUCCACAGAUUAAAGAAACAUGCACACAAACAUACUGAUUUGCUGUUGGUUGCUUCUUAGUAACCUUUAGGUUCAAGGUGUGGUAUUUCUUAGUAUUUCAAGGUACAGUAAGGUUUCACUGCAUCAUCCAAUAAAAGGACAGUAUUCACAAAACUGGAAAUAAUU
rnacentral:lncRNA from 1 species